rfam:Schistosoma haematobium scaffold1844_9, whole genome shotgun sequence.
AUCCAGAUGAACAGACUUAAAUGGGACGAAACGCGCGUCCUGGAU